UAAGAAAUAGAUCCAAUAUGCAGUUGAUGGUGUCUUAAAUCUCCUGAAACUGCAUUAACCCUAUUAGGUUGUUGGUCACUCAAGCUGCAGUUAAUACAACCUGGGGAGGAGGGGAGCGGAAAGCGGGUAAUGAAUCAUCUACUACUUCACUAUUUCCUAAUUACAAGCACUUCCUCUAGGACACGUAAUUAAUUUACUGAGUUGGGGGGAAAAAAGUC
rfam:Sarcophilus harrisii ctg7180001720338, whole genome shotgun sequence.